AAAAAGCACAGAAAACAACAACAUUUUUAACACCUACAGCAGAAAAGAAAUUAGUCGACAACUUUGUGGAAUCAUUGACAGAAAAUGUAAAACCAAUAAACGAGACCAUGUUCGAAGUCAUUGAACUAACCAGAUCAUGGGUCAUCAACCUCAAGGAGAAAACGUGCAGUUGCAACAGAUUCCAACUUGAUGAGUUACCGUGUGCUCAUGCGCUUGCUGUUAUAAAAGAGAUGAACUUGAAUGUUUACAACUACUGUUCGGGUUAUUACACCACGCGAACAUGGCUUGAAACAUACAGCGGCUCAACAUAUCCGGUACACAAUCACACAACUU